GGCGGACGGGUGAGUAACGCGUAAGGAACUUGCCUCUUGGACUGGGACAACUGUUGGAAACGACAGCUAAUACCGGAUAUUAUGAGAUUCUCGCAUGAGAAACUUAUGAAAGCUAUAUGCGCCAAGAGAGAGCCUUGCGUUCCAUUAGCUAGUUGGUGGGGUAACGGCCCACCAAGGCGACGAUGGAUAGCCGGCCUGAGAGGGUGAACGGCCACAAGGGGACUGAGACACGGCCCUUACUCCUACGGGAGGCAGCAGUGGGGAAUAUUGGACAAUGGGCCACAAGCCUGAUCCAGCAAUUCUGUGUGCACGAUGAAGGUCUUCGGAUUGUAAAGUGCUUUCAGUUGGGAAGAAGAAAGUGACGGUACCAACAGAAGAAGCGACGGCUAAAUACGUGCCAGCAGCCGCGGUAAUACGUAUGUCGCAAGCGUUAUCCGGAUUUAUUGGGCGUAAAGCGCGUCUAGGCGGAAAAAUAAGUCUGAUGUUAAAAUGCGGGGCUCAACUCCGUAUUGCGUUGGAAACUGUUUUUCUAGAGUACUGGAGAGGUGGGCAGAACUACAAGUGUAGAGGUGAAAUUCGUAGAUAUUUGUAGGAAUGCCGAUGGAGAAGUCAGCUCACUGGACAGAUACUGACGCUGA
rnacentral:rRNA from 1 species